rnacentral:piRNA from 1 species
AUAGUAUAGUGCUUAAUAUGUGCCAGG